rnacentral:tRNA from 1 species
GGGGAUGUAGCUCAGUAGUAGAGUACUUGCCUAACAUGUGAGAGAUCUUGGGUUCCAUCCCUA